rnacentral:rRNA from 1 species
GAUGAACGCUGGCGGCGUGCUUAACACAUGCAAGUCGAACGAAGCACCUUGGACAGAUUCUUCGGAUGAAGUCUUUGGCGACUGAGUGGCGGACGGGUGAGUAACGCGUGGGUAACCUGCCUCAUACAGGGGGAUAACAGUUAGAAAUGGCUGCUAAUACCGCAUAAGCGCACAGGACCGCAUGGUCCGGUGUGAAAAACUCCGGUGGUAUAAGAUGGACCCGCGUUGGAUUAGCUAGUUGGCAGGGUAACGGCCUACCAAGGCGACGAUCCAUAGCCGGCCUGAGAGGGUGAACGGCCACAUUGGGACUGAGACACGGCCCAGACUCCUACGGGAGGCAGCAGUGGGGAAUAUUGCACAAUGGGGAAACCCUGAUGCAGCGACGCCGCGUGAAGGAAGAAGUAUCUCGGUAUGUAAACUUCUAUCAGCAGGGAAGAUAGUGACGGUACCUGACUAAGAAGCCCGGCUAACUACGUGACAGCCG